GUCCCCGUAGCUCAAUCGGAUGGAGCAAUGGCCUUCUAAGCCAUCGGAUAGGCGUUCAAAUCGCCUCGGGGACGCCA
rnacentral:tRNA from 1 species